GACAGAGGGGAACAAAGUUUCUGUCAGACAGUUCAGCCAAGAUAGGAAAAAGAAAUUAUCCAAAAGCAAGAAGGAAGUGAGGAUGUGAAGGGGACUGCCAAAUGCUGUCUGUUGGCUGGAAGAUGUUGAAGAAAUCCCCUAUGGAAAAACAACAAAGAAAGGCAAAGGAGAUACAAGAAGGAAGAUCACGAGAUCAAGUGGGUGUGAAAGGAAGAUCAGAAAGGGGAACAAGCUGCUAGUUAAAUGUAGGCAAUGUGGUGUCCUCCUGAACUUUGUUGGACUACAACUCCCAUCAUCCCUGACCAAUGACCAUACUGGCUGGAGCCAGUGGGAGUUGGAGUCCAGCUACAUCUGGAGGGUGCUAUAUUGGCCAGAUGUGUACUAGGUCAUUGCAAAACCCUAUAACCAGAAUCCUGUUGUCACGA